CCUUUCGUUCACUAGGCGCAAGGAGGGCUGCUCGCAUCGACCCGCUGUGUCGUGCUGUAUAUACGAACAGCUGAACUUAAAGAAGCAGCAUUUGGGUUUUCCUUCCACUUGCGUCAGAAGAUCAGCUAAAAAAUGAAUCAGAAAAGAGUUACUGAAAUUAUUUCUCAUUUAAAAAAUGAAGAAACCCUUUCAUAUUAACUGAGAACUGUGGACUCGGGGAAACCCUGAGAAGGAACGAACAGCGGAUGAGAUUUUAAAAUGAUGAUGAUUAGAGAGAACAAGAGACACCGUGGAGGAACAUCCACUUAGAAUUCUUUGGGAAUCUGAGCAGUUACACUCACUGAGCAGCUGUACCAGUCAGUCUGGAGCAGGAACCCUCCCCCCAGGCCGGAAUUACCUGGGGACAAGACACUGAGCCGCAGCGAGCCUGGGCAGUGAGCAGAAAAGACAGGACGUCGGCUACGUGUGGGCUCUGGAAUAGCGUUUUAAAGGAUCGAACCCAGGCAGGUAAUUAGUUAAAGGUUAACUUGGGGCUGUUUGAAAAGUUAGAAAGCGCGUCUUUGAUGCCAGGCUGUCGGUGUGAGCAGAAGCCCUUGGAAAUGUCUCUCCUCUUGGUUUCCCUGAGAUAGUUUAUAAAUAAGGCAGAUCUGCUCCGGGACCAGCUGAUAACGGAGUCUUCAAGGAAAAGCCUUAGUUGCAUGAUCACCUGAUGACUGGACAGGGAGAACAAUAUUUUGAACCUGUCUCGAGCCCGGUGUAAAGGGCAGAAAGCACUGUAUAAGGCAAGACCCGCAGACACACGGCACCCAGUCGUUCUGGUCGUGCUUCUGUGAAGGUGCCUGGCUCCCUUCCUUGGACUGUAGUUUUGAACUCACUGCAGAAGGAGUUGUAUGACAUAUAUUCUCUUUCAGGAGCAAGGUAGAUACUACAGAUAGUCGUCCUCCCGCCCCGAAGAGUUGGACAAUAUUUUAGAAGUUCUUAGGCAGUGUGCCUGCCUGGAAAUAUGCAGGCCGGAGGCUUGCAGCCAUAGCGCUGUGGUCCAGCUUCAAGCAGGGCUUGGUGAGCCAUAACCUGCUCGGCUGAAGGGUUUGUUUCUUAGGCAUUUUCCGAUAAUUAGCGCUUGAUCAUCAUUAUGCUGUGUUUGCUUUGUCAUUGCACGUUUUAAUAUACUGCAUUUAAGAAAUACUUUCUCAUACUCUCCAGUGUAAUCGCUUUUAAAAUUAAAUAGCUUAAUUUGCGAAGAACACAGACACCCUGUGGGGAAUGGUUUUGAAUUCCAGGAGUCAUUCCAGGUGGCCAGCAAAUGCUCAGCGGGGCUUAGACGUACAGCCACCGCCCCCCACCUCCCUACCCCCAUCCCUGUUCUCAGUGAAAAGCCUCAUCACUAGACAUGCGUGUUUCAAGCAAGCAAAUGCAAGCAUGGGUUGUAUGUGAGUUGUAACGUGGCUUGUGGCUCCUCUCCUAGUGGCCUUGGUGCUGGUGACUGUGGCAGCCUGGCACGGUACCUCUGCCCCAUCCCACUAAGCACCGUGAAUGCGUGGCGAGCACUUUCAGAUCUGAGUCUCAUGAAAUCCUGAGAAAACAAAGCAAAGCUGUGGUCCCUCCUACUUACAUAAAACCCCGGCUUGUUAGGGCCGUGCCUCACACACCCGGGCGGGCAGCCGGCCGGGCCGUGCGGGCGGCUACUCACGUGCUGUGGGCAUGGCGAUGACCGUCUCCGUGGUGGCGUGGUAGUCGUCCUCCUCCAGGGAGCCCUCGCUGCCGCCGUCCCGCUGCACGUCGUCCUGGUCGAUGAGCUCCCGCAGCGGCGGGGCCCGGGGCAGGAGCUGCCGGACGGCUUCCUUGCUGAUGUUGGGCGCCGUUUCCAGGCGCAGCUUGCUGAGGAUCUGGAUCUUUAUGGCUUCUAUCCGGGACGACUUCGUGUUCUGCCUCCAGGCGCACGCGUUGCACGGCCCCUCUUUCUCCGCAUCGCCUUUCUGCUCGCCGUUCUCACUCAGGUCCACGGGGCCGGCGACGAUCAGCAUGAACAGGUAGAUGGACACAUAGACUUGCAGCUUUUGCAUGAUGUAGAAGCUGUGCAGUCUUUUCCUGCUCCUUUUCCUCCUUUGCUUUUGAGUAAUGCCAAGCAAAGGGGAAUGCCUGGACAGUCGGAGACGCCAGUGGCCACCCAGGGAAUCUUGCACGCUGUCUUCCAAGUGGCUUUUUAUAUUCCGACUCGGAUGAGACCAGUGUCGUCAGGACCUGUGAUUGGCUCCGGCUCCACAAUGAAUCUCGCUGUCAGAGGUUAAACCCUGUCUGUCACAAGUCACCAAGCAGUGUUCUGUUACAGGCCAGGGCGGGCUGGUGCCUCUGCGUGCUUCAUAAAAGAAGGAAAUCUACAGAUCAGCGGAGGGAGAGGUGACAGUUGAGAAAUGAAAGUAUGUAAACAAUAACAUCAACUGCACUUCAGUCUGAUUCAUCUGUACAUGUGGGACUCUUCAGUUAUAAUUGAAACAAACGAAUAUCUCUCAGAAGAUGUACUGCUUCAUAGUUUAUUACCAAGAGCAUACUGUGAGCCAGUAGAAAAUUCCUGAACUUAGAAUAAAAAAAGGAGUGGACUUUCUGACAAGCAACGUAGCACCUACUGCAUCCGCCUCAGAUGCCAGCGGUAAAAGCAAGACGUGGUCUCUGGCCCCCAGAAAUUAUGUCAGAAUAUUGUGAGCACUCAAGGGAAGCGCUCCACCAUCAAAGGGUACCCGUUCCCCCCAAUACUGUGAUGGGUUUGCACCCCUUUACCGUUUCUCAUUUUGACCAGA